rnacentral:rRNA from 1 species
UACGUAGGGUGCGAGCGUUAAUCGGAAUUACUGGGCGUAAAGGGCUCGUAGGCGGCCAACUAAGUCAGACGUGAAAUCCCUCGGCUUAACCGGGGAACUGCAUCUGAUACUGGAUGGCUUGAGUUCGGGAGAGGGAUGCGGAAUUCCAGGUGUAGCGGUGAAAUGCGUAGAUAUCUGGAGGAACACCGGUGGCGAAGGCGGCAUCCUGGACCGGCACUGACGCUGAGGAGCGAAAGCCAGGGGAGCAAACGGG